rnacentral:rRNA from 1 species
CCCUUAGAUGUUCUGGGCCGCACACGCGCUACACUGAAGGAGGCAGCGUGUACUCCUGGAUCGAAAGAUUUGGGUAACCCGGGAAUCUCCUUCGUGCUAGGGAUUGAGGUUUGCAAUUAUCCUUCAUGAACGAGGAAUUCCCAGUAAGUGCAAGUCAUAAGCUUGCGCUGACUACGUCCCUGCCCUUUGUACACACCGCCCGUCGCUACUACCGAUUGAAUGAUUUAGUGAGGACUUCGGACUGGGACCGAUGCGGCUUUCGGGCUGCGUCGGUAUUCUGGAAAGAUGUCCAAACUGUAUCAUUUAGAGGAAGUAAAAGUCGUAACA